CUUUGAUUUAAUUAGAAAAUCUGCUUCACUUCCAAACUAACACUCAGAUGAGUCACUAGGUCCAGCCUCCACUUGAGAAGAUUUUAUUUAUAUGAGAGAGAGAAAGAGUAAGAGAGUGAAAGCAUGAAACUGUGAGGGUCGGAGUUGGAAAAGUACACUCCCCACUGAGCUGAUGCCGGGCUCCAUCCCCGCACUCCAGGAUCAAGCCUGAGG